rnacentral:rRNA from 1 species
AUACGUAGGGAGCGAGCGUUGUCCGGAAUUACUGGGCGUAAAGGGCGCGUAGGCGGUUGUUCAAGUCACGUGUGAAAUACCCGGGCUCAACUUGGGGGGUGCAUGUGAAACUGGAUAACUUGAGUGUGGUAGAGGAAAGUGGAAUUCCUAGUGUAGCGGUGAAAUGCGUAGAUAUUAGGAGGAACACCAGUGGCGAAGGCGACUUUCUGGGCCACAACUGACGCUGAGGCGCGAAAGCGUGGGGAGCAAACAGGAUUAGAUACCCUGGUAGUCCACGCUGUAAACGAUGAAUGCUAGGUGUAGGAGGUAUCGACCCCUUCUGUGCCGCAGCUAACGCAAUAAGCAUUCCGCCUGGGGAGUACGGCCGCAAGGUUGA